UACGAAGGGGGCUAGCGUUGCUCGGAAUCACUGGGCGUAAAGCGCACGUAGGCGGAUCUUCAAGUCAGGGGUGAAAUCCUGGAGCUCAACUCCAGAACUGCCUUUGAUACUGGGGAUCUCGAGUCCGGAAGAGGUGAGUGGAACUCCGAGUGUAGAGGUGAAAUUCGUAGAUAUUCGGAAGAACACCAGUGGCGAAGGCGGCGACCUGGUCCGUGACUGACGCUGAGGCGCGAAAGCGUGGGGAGCAAACAGG
rnacentral:rRNA from 1 species